CCCAUAUUCCCGGUGACCCAGGUUUCCAAGUCAUCAUAUCUCCAGUGCCCCAGGAUUCCAAAUACCCAUAUUCCCAGUGCCCUAGGUUCCAAAGUCCCCAUAUUCCCAGUGCCCCAGGAUUCCAAAUACCCAUAUUCCCAGUGCCCUAGGUUCCAAAGUCACCAUAUUCCUGGUGACCCAGGUUUCCAAGUCAUCAUAUCUCCAGUGCCCCAGGAUUCCAAAUACCCAUAUUCCCAGUGCCCUAGGUUCCAAAGUCCCCAUAUUCCCAGUGCCCCAGGAUUCCAAAUACCCAUAUUCACAGUACCCUAGGUUCCAAAGUCCCGAUAUUCCCAGUGCCCCAGGAUUCCAAAUACCCAUAUUCCCAGUACCCUAGUCUCCAAAGUCACAAUAUUCCCAGUGCCCCAGGUUCCCAAGUCUCCAUAUUCCCAGUGCCCUAGGUAUCCAAGUACCCAUAUUCUCAGUACCCUAGG
ensembl:lncRNA